AGUGAACGCUGGCGGUAGGCCUAACACAUGCAAGUCGAACGGCAGCACAGGAGAGCUUGCUCUCUGGGUGGCGAGUGGCGGACGGGUGAGGAAUACAUCGGAAUCUACUUUUUCGUGGGGGAUAACGUAGGGAAACUUACGCUAAUACCGCAUACGACCUACGGGUGAAAGCAGGGGAUCUUCGGACCUUGCGCGAUUGAAUUAGCCCAUGUCGGAUUAGCUAGUUGGCGGGGUAAAGGCCCACCAAGGCGACGAUCCGUAGCUGGUCUGAGAGGAUGAUCAGCCACACUGGAACUGAGACACGGUCCAGACUCCUACGGGAGGCAGCAGUGGGGAAUAUUGGACAAUGGGCGCAAGCCUGAUCCAGCCAUACCGCGUGGGUGAAGAAGGCCUUCGGGUUGUAAAGCCCUUUUGUUGGGAAAGAAAUCCAGCUGGCUAAUACCCGGUUGGGAUGACGGUACCCAAAGAAUAAGCACCGGCUAACUUCGUGCCAGCCGCCGCAGUAAUAC
rnacentral:rRNA from 1 species